rnacentral:lncRNA from 1 species
GGGAUCAGCGUCCCAAAUGUCCAUUCCGGCACGCUGAUUGGUUGAAAGGAACAGCAUUUUUUUUUACGACGACGACUAUGAUGAUGAAGAAGAAGGUGGUAGUGGUGGUAGUGAUAUAGAGAGCAAUAGGGAUGACGUCUUUGUGUAGACAUUAACUCUGCCAUGUUACGUGGCAGGCUAUUCCUCGGAAGUCACUCAUGUCAGGCUUCUCCGAUGCACAACUGUGCUGCGCGGCUGUCAGCGUUGCGGUCUCAUUCAACACUGGAGACUUUGGCGCCAUCCCUGCGGACACCACUUCUGCCGUGAGUGCAUGGAUCAGAUCAUAGAUGAUGGUUUCCGCGACAUCGAGGGGCUUGGCUCAAGUCCCUGUCCACAGUGUAAAUCAGUUGUAGCCUAUUAAAUGUGUAACCGUGACUGUAUGUUAGUGCCUUUUUCUGAGUUUGUGUAACCUUUUCUUUUUCAUUGCACUUUGUAGUCCCUGCAUGUCCCUAUUGCCCAGGCAAUUCAACAGAACUAUGGUAUCAUCAAGACAAAGGACAAGCAAUACUACUUCACCACUUAUCUAGUCAGUCAGAGCAGAUUUUCAUUGUCAUCUUUUGGACAUUCUAUUCUAUGCAUUAAUUAGUGUGUGUAGUAGGACAAGGUUACAGUAAAUGACAUGAAUAUAUCUUAAUAUAACUAUCUAAAUGUAGCUGAUGCUAAACUCCAUCCAAUACAAACGACUAUUUAUGAAUAUUAACAACUCAGGCUCCUAGGCAAGGUUGGGGAGAAACUGAUUGCAUGUAAUCAUGUACAUGUAAUCUGAUUACAAAAAGGUAGUCCCAGCUAAAAUUGUGUAAUCAGGUUACAGAUACUUUGAAAAACUAGAUGAUUACUCCUUGGAUUGCUUGCUUGCGACAAAAUACAUUAUAACACUUUUCCUUUUCUCAAUGACUUUCAUUUCAGCCUUGAAAAAAAGGGCAAAUUUAGUUUGUUCCACCUGAGCGAGUCUGACCACAAAUUAGAGACCACUAUGAUGGCACACCAAAUGCGUUUGAUGGAUCCUUUUUGUCUUCUAAUGCCUCUUAAGGGGAAAGUAAUCUAAAAGUAACUGAAAUUAAUAAUAUUACAUUACUG